rnacentral:rRNA from 1 species
CCUACGGGGUGCAGCAGUGAGGAAUAUUGGUCAAUGGACGAGAGUCUGAACCAGCCAAGUAGCGUGAAGGAUGACCGCCCUAUGGGUUGUAAACUUCUUUUAUAUGGGAAUAAAAUGUUCCACGUGUGGGAUUUUGUAUGUACCAUAUGAAUAAGGAUCGGCUAACUCCGUGCCAGCAGCCGCGGUAAUACGGAGGAUCCGAGCGUUAUCCGGAUUUAUUGGGUUUAAAGGGAGCGUAGGUGGAUUGUUAAGUCAGUUGUGAAAGUUUGCGGCUCAACCGUAAAAUUGCAGUUGAAACUGGCAGUCUUGAGUACAGUAGAGGUGGGCGGAAUUCGUGGUGUAGCGGUGAAAUGCUUAGAUAUCACGAAGAACUCCGAUUGCGAAGGCAGUUCACUGGACUGCAACUGACACUGAGGCUCGAAAGUGUGGGUAUCAAACAGGAUUAGAUACCCGGGUAGUC